UAUAGGUGACAGUAGUUAGUGGCCAUAUAGGUGACAGUAGUUAGUGGCCAUAUAGGUGACAGUAGUUAGUGGCCAUAUAGGUGACAGUAGUUAGUGGCCAUAUAGGUGACAGUAGUUAGUGGCCAUAUAGGUGACAGUAGUUAGUGGCCAUAUAGGUGACAGUAGUUAGUGGCCAUAUAGGUGACAGUAGUUAGUGGCCAUAUAGGUGACAGUAGUUAGUGGCCGUAUAGAUGACAGUAGUUAGUGGCCAUAUAGGUGACAGUAGUUAGUGGCCAUAUAGGUGACAGUAGUUAGUGGUCGUAUAGAUGACAGUAGUUAGUGGCCAUAUUGGUGACAGUACUUAGUGGCCAUAUACUGUAUAUGAGAGUAGUUAGUAACGCUCCACUUUUGUGGCAAUGUUAGAGUUAGAUCCUGUGAAUUAUUGUACGCGUGUAGUGGAUUUCUCCCCUACAAACGCUGUUUGUCGCUGCGUAGCCGACCCCGCGAAUUCCCCAGUGUAUGCCUCGUGGUCUGGGUCAACCAGCGCCGCCAUACAUCACGGAGGUCAACUACUAAGCGACAAACAGCGUUUGUUGGGGAGAAAUCCACUACACGCGCACACACUGUUUAAAUCGAAAGUCGAAAUGAUAAAUGCAAAUUUAUGUUCACACAAAUAUUAUCUUUGCUCACUCUCUC